rnacentral:sRNA from 1 species
GCCAGGUGUGGUGGCACACACCUGUAAUCCCAGCUACUUGGGAGGCUGAGGCAGGAGAAUUGCUUGAACUAGGGAGGCAGAGGCUGCAGUGAGCCAGGAUCACAUCAUUGCACUCCAGCCUGGACAACAAGAGUGAAACUCCAUCUCAAAAAAAAAAAAAGAGAGACAGCUCUGUUGUCCAGGCUGGAGUGCAGUGGCACGAUCAUAGCUCACUGUAGCCUCAAGCUCCUGGGCUUAAGUGAUCCUCCUGCCUCA